rnacentral:rRNA from 1 species
UACAGAGGUCCCAAGCGUUGUUCGGAUUCACUGGGCGUAAAGGGUGCGUAGGCGGUCGGGUAAGUCUGACGUGAAAUCUCCGAGCCUAACUCGGAAACUGCGUUGGAUACUAUCCGGCUCGAGGAAUGGAGGGGAGACUGGAAUACUUGGUGUAGCAGUGAAAUGCGUAGAUAUCAAGUGGAACACCAGUGGCGAAGGCGAGUCUCUGGACAUUUCCUGACGCUGAGGCACGAAAGCCAGGGGAGCAAACGGG